CCAGAUAUGUAAGCUGUUUAUUGCAUCAGUAAUUUUCAAAGAAAAUGAAUGUAAAGUAAACAGAGCAACAGAGGCCUGUGAAAAAACUAGAAAGAAAACAGCCACAUGGCAAGAGAAGAAGGAAUGGAAGAAGGCUCUGGGAGGUGUUGAAUUUGUUUGAGUUCUUUCUCCUAGAAGACAGAAGCAGGUGCAAUAGAACACAAAUAUAAAAAGGGAAGCCAAGGUUCCUGCCUGGGUCAUAAAAAAUACUGGAUACAAAAGAUUUUAGAAGAAGAAGGAGAAAACAAAUUCAGGGGCAAGACACCAGAACCAUUGGAAAGACCGAUGGAGAGUUACGUGAAGAGCUUCCAGAAAAUAAGGCAUAUACAAGUGCUAGUAUUCCAGUCUUACACACAGAUGCAUAGAUAAAUAAAUAACAUCACACAUUUGCUAAUAAAUAGCACAGAUGACUUUUUAGAUGUAUCUCUAGAUGUAACGAUUCUUAGAAGCUUCAUACCCAAAUUUCCAGAUAUCUUCAACAGUCUAAAGUAGAACUCUUUACCAGCUCCAUCAAGACAAUUCUUUAUCUAGCUCUAUCUCAAUUGAUAUCUUUACAUCUCCCCAAGCAACGUGAGCUCAAGACUUUUAAUUCCUUUUUGUUAAGCGUUCUAUAUUGACACUUAAUUCUGCAAGUGCUCUUCCUCAGUGUCUCAUACGUAAUUCUAUUUAUUUGCUGCUACUGGUAUAACAAUUACAUUAUUGUAAUUGUUUCCUAACUGGUCUCCCAAACUCCAGUUAUUCAACUUUUCUCUUUUCUCUAAAGUAAAACCACCCACCUCUCACCACAAAAUAAUUCAACUCAUUAUAUGCCCAGUGCAGUAGUCCAAUGAUACUUAAUGCCUGGAGGCGGAGAACCAAAUUUCUUAACCUUAUUUUUAAAACCCUAUACCUUUCAUAUUUGCCAUUUCAUCUCCCCUACUUUUCCCUUCAUAACAAUGUGUUUCAUGCUUGUAGUAUAGUGCUGUCUUAGCUUGUCUCAUAUUAAAGCUAUCCAUAAUUGCUUCAAUUGGUCAUGUGAGACUGGAAAUGCAGAGAGAGCCAGGACAAUGCUUUCCUUGCCUUUGCUUAAUUCAAAAUGCUUUUCAGGAUGUUUUAUAUACAGUAGAAUAUAGCAGUGACUGCCACUUGUAUAUCCAUAUCAAUUCUCCCUUAUCAAAGCUCACCAGUCAAAGUCUAUACAGAACUCAAAUGUGGUCAAACAAGGAAGAGCAGGGUCUCUUAGUAACAGGAAGUUGGAAGAGGCUUAUUAUAGGAUUUAGACUUGUGCUGUGUGGCUAUAGAGGCUAGAGAAAGGAAGGCUAGCUUUGAAUUGAAUAAUGUCCAGAAGUAAGAGCAAUUCAGUAACAUAGUUGCCAGGUAUCAUAAUCUUUGUUCAGGACACUGGAGGAACAAAAUCAUGCUAGGGAUAUAUCAUUGGUAAUAAAACAGCAACAUACUCAAAAGUCAAUUUUUGCAGCUACAAUAUGGCCUUGUUAAAAACAUGGUUUAUUAUAAUCUAACCAUUAACAGCUAAUUUUUCAUUUUCUCUCUUUUCUUUCUUUUAGUGAUAGAACCACCUAAAUUUAAUAGGGUAUGUGGCUGUCCAGACUAUGCUAUUAAACCCUUCAUGUUGCUAAUUUUGUGUAUGUAGCUAAAUUCUAGUCAAUGGGAUGAAACCUGAUUUCAUGCUUGUGACUUCCAUAGUACAUUUUUUUUUAAAAAAAGAAACAGCUUUCUCUCAUUCAUCCUUUACUUCAUUCUAUGAACCAAACACAUAUGUAUUUCUGUAGGUCAGCUUUGACUAUGUAUUUCCUUGGAGAUAGUGGAGUAAAAAGUUAGAAGGCUCAUAAGAUUCCAUGACAACUUUGUGGAACAUAGCUACCUGUCUACCCUAGAUCGUUCACCUUCUUCUGAAUAGUAAAUGAAAAAGAAAUAAUCUAUCUUCCUUUACCCAGUGAACAUUUGAAUCUUUUCAUUAGAGUAGCUUGUUUCAUACUCAUUUAAUAACAUAUGACAAGAUAUUGGCCAUUGAAUUAUGAAUUAUAAUAAUAAAAUGUUAAGUACCUCUACUAUGGAUCUAGAAGUUCUUAGUUGGAUUAUGUGCAUUAUCUAUUACCUUCUUUGGCCUUCCAUUAUGUAACUUGCCAAGUAUUUUUAUGAAUCAGGAAACUAUUUGCAUAGAUACACUGAAUAAACAUGUAAGACUAAGAAGAAAUAAUAAAAAACAAAAACCUUAAAAGGAUUAUAAUAUCAUUAUAGAUAAUUGUAAAAUGAAAAGGAGUUUCACUCAUGCUUUGUUGUUUGAUGACAAAAGUCUUAUUUGUGUUGUCAAAUCUGCAUUUUUGAAAUGUGAACUGUGGACUUGGAUGGUGCUAUGGUCUGAAGGUUUACAUCCCCUCCAAAUUCAUAUGCUGAAAUUCCUACCCUAAAGAUGAUGCUAUUAGGAAUUAGGGCUUUUGGGAGGUAAUUAGGUCAUUGAGAUGGAGCUCUUGUGAAUGAAAAUAGUGCUUUUCUAUAAAAAAGGCCCCAAAAAGAACCUAUGCCCCUUCCACCUUGUGAAGUCACAACAUGAAUGCACCAUCUAUAAACCAAGGAUAUGGGUCCUUACCAGACAUCAAAUCUGGCAGCAUAUUGAUCUUGGAUUUCUCAACACCCAUGAUUGUGGGAAUUAAAUUUCUAUUGUUUACAAACCACCAAGUUUGUGGUAUUUUGUUACAGAAACCCAGACAGACUAAGAUAGAUGGAGAAGAGCUGGUUGAUUUCAAACAUAAGUUCUUGGGGAACUUCCUCCCAGUUAUAUUUAAAAAACAUUCUUUAAUCUUCACUGAAGCAAAUUGACAAAACAAAUUGCUACCUAGUAAGUUUCAGUCAUUUGAUAUGUAAAAAUUUUUUUCUGUAUAAUAUUAUCCAUGCUAUGAAAUACACAAAAAUUAACAACUAAUGAAAAUGAAUGUCUGAGAAUAUUUAUAAUUAUCACUAUAAAUAUUAUAAAUAUAAUUGAAAAUACAUUUCCU
rnacentral:lncRNA from 10 species